AAGUUCCGUAGGUGAACCUGCGCCCCGUGAACCUUUAUUGUGGCACGUCUAUCCGUCAGAAAGUGGCAAUCCCUGGUAACGAACAGUUUUGAUUCAGGGACCUCUGCGUGGGUAGGACAACUGCGCGAGCAACUGGCAUCCCUCCCCUAAUCACCUUUGCAUGAAAACGGGCCUGCUUAAUUGUGCGGCCACAAACUCGAACAACUGUUAACAAUGGAUAUCUUGGUUCUC
rnacentral:misc_RNA from 1 species